UACGUAGGGGGCAAGCGUUGUCCGGAUUUAUUGGGCGUAAAGAGCUCGUAGGUGGUUCGGUAAGUCGGAUGUGAAAUCUCCCGGCUCAACUGGGAGGGUGCGCCGAAUACUGAAUGACUAGAGUGCGGGAGAGGAAAGUGGAAUUCCUGGUGUAGCGGUGAAAUGCGCAGAUAUCAGGAAGAACACCCGUGGCGAAGGCGGCUCUCUGGGACGGUACUGACGCUGAGACGCGAAAGCGUGGGGAGCGAACAGG
rnacentral:rRNA from 1 species